AGAACCCAGCCAUGAGCUCCGCCGCGCUAAACCGGCGGUUGAGAUAAAAAUCUCUGCAGCCUUCAAUUUCUCAUCAUUCAUCGUGAUUUUGAAGAUUAAUUCGUCGAUUCUCUGCGUAGCUGAGUGCAGGAAACAAUGAAGUUAGAUGUGAAUGCUCUGAGGUAUCUGUCGAAGGAUGACUUCAGGGUUCUUACCGCCGUCGAGAUGGGAAUGCGCAAUCAUGAAAUUGUACCGGCGGAGUUGAUCGGCAGAAUCGCAUCAUUGAAGCAUGGCGGCACGUAUAAAGUAUUGAAGAAUUUGCUCAAGCACAAGCUGGUGCAUCAUGACUCUUCCAAGUAUGAUGGUUUCCGGCUAACAUACUUGGGCUACGACUUUCUUGCGAUCAAGACAUUGGUGAACCGUGGAGUUUUUGCUUCUGUUGGUCGCCAGAUUGGUGUGGGGAAGGAAUCUGAUAUAUUUGAGGUUGCUACUGAAGAUGGCACAGUUCUUGCUAUGAAGUUACACAGGCUUGGUAGGGUUUCUUUUAGAGCAGUCAAGUCUAAACGUGAUUAUUUGAGGCAUCGCAGAAGCUUUAACUGGCUAUACUUGUCACGGCUUGCUGCACUCAAAGAAUUUGCCUUUAUGAAGGCUUUGGAAGAACAUGGUUUUCCUGUUCCAAAUGCAGUGGAUUGCAAUCGGCAUUGUGUGAUCAUGUCACUCGUCCAAGGAUACCCGCUUGUUCAGGUAAAGGAGUUGCCAAACCCCGACACAAUCUUUGAAACAAUCAUUGGUCUUGUUGUUCGCCUGGCAGAGCACGGGCUCAUCCACUGUGAUUUCAAUGAAUUUAAUAUCAUGAUUGAUGAUGAUGAGAAGGUGACAAUGAUUGAUUUUCCACAAAUGGUUUCGGUUUCUCAUCGAAAUGCACAGAUGUACUUUGACCGUGAUGUUGAGUGCAUCUUCAAGUUUUUCCGGAAAAGGUUUCACCUCUCUUUUGAUGAAAAAGAAGCCGAAUGUGAUGAUUCAGAUGUAGAAUUAGAUGGAAGUUGUCGGCCACAGUUUUCAGAUAUAAAUAAAGUUUCUGGUGUCCUGGACAAGGAGCUUGAAGCUAGUGGUUUCACUAGGAAGGAUCAAGAGGAUAUGGAGAAGUUUGUUGAUGGGGAUGUAGAGGAAGAUCUGGGAUCUGAUUCUGGAGAAGAUGAGGACGAAGAUGAAGAUGAUACUGCUGGUCAGAUAAAUGAUGCAACCCUAAAUGGUCUCGAGUCCUUGAGCUUGACUAGAGAGGAAGAAGGCGAUUCGGAUAACAAUCAAAAUAAUAUGCAUCAACAUACUUGUAACGAAGCUAGCCAAAGUGAAGAUAGACAGGUUGAGCACGAUGAUAAUUCUGACGACCCUGAACUUGAAAAGCGUUUGAGCAAGCAACGACAACGGGCCAUCCAAGCUGCUCGUGGGAGGCGGAAAGCUAUAACCUCUAGAAACAGUUACAAGGACAAAGGUGGGAGGUCCUCUCAAAAUUCAAAGAUUCAAAAACAAUUAGGUAGCUGGUGAGAAGGGCUAUCGCGCCCUGCCCUGCCCUGCUGUGACACCAUUCAAAGGCCAGCGCCGAGCAGCUCGGAUUCGUGAAGAUUGUAAGGUUUUAACGAGGCUUGGGCCAAGUCGCCUUACCAACGAGCCAUGGUGUUAGCCUGUUAGAUCUAUCUUGUAACUUAUAAAUGGAGAUUUCAUGUUCAAAUAUCACAAGCCGUUCAUUAUUUACCUUUUCAAAAUAGAAACUC